rnacentral:lncRNA from 1 species
AAACAAACACUCCAAGUCAAUGCCGUCUCCUCGUUGUAACUCGGAAGCUGGUAGAAAAGUAAGCGAAAUUUACAGAGAGAGAAAGAGAGAACUGUAGAGAGAGAUAGAGAUAGAGAGAGAGAGAGAGAGGGAGAAUUGGAGAGAGAGAGAAGGGGUGGGAGAAGUACACACACAGGAAGAGAAUGAGAAAGAUUGGAUAAUCUUUCCAUGGAUUUUUGAGAUCCAGAGGAAGAAGGAGAAAGAGCUCCAGCUUGUUCGACAUAUCGAGUUCGAAU